AGUUGUGGUGGUUUUCUUUCUGGUGCAUUUGUUAAGUUUUCAAAUGGGCCUGAUUCUGCCACAUAUAAAAUAGAGGAGUUGGCAAAGGCUUGAUGAAAAAGAUGUUUCUUGCUAGCCUUUCCCACACCAGAGUUUGGCUCCCACAUGU
rnacentral:snoRNA from 1 species